rnacentral:rRNA from 1 species
UACGGGGGGGGCAAGCGUUGUUCGGAAUUACUGGGCGUAAAGGGUGCGUAGGGGGUCCGCUAAGUUGGAUGUGAAAACUCUGGGCUUAACCCAGAGCCUGCAUUCAAAACUGACGGGCUAGAGUUCUGGAGGGGGUAGCGGAAUUCCUGGUGUAGCGGUGAAAUGCGUAGAUAUCAGGAGGAACACCGGUGGCGAAGGCGGCUACCUGGACAGAAACUGACGCUGAGGCACGAAAGCUAGGGGAGCAAACAGG